rnacentral:rRNA from 1 species
AACGAACGCUGGCGGCAUGCCUAACACAUGCAAGUCGAACGAGACCUUCGGGUCUAGUGGCGCACGGGUGCGUAACGCGUGGGAACCUGCCUUUAGGUUCGGAAUAACUCAGAGAAAUUUGAGCUAAUACCGGAUGAUGUCUUCGGACCAAAGAUUUAUCGCCUUUAGAUGGGCCCGCGUUGGAUUAGCUAGUUGGUGGGGUAAAGGCCUACCAAGGCGACGAUCCAUAGCUGGUCUGAGAGGAUGAUCAGCCACACUGGGACUGAGACACGGCCCAGACUCCUACGGGAGGCAGCAGUGGGGAAUAUUGGACAAUGGGCGAAAGCCUGAUCCAGCAAUGCCGCGUGAGUGAUGAAGGCCCUAGGGUUGUAAAGCUCUUUUACCCGAGAUGAUAAUGACAGUAUCGGGAGAAUAAGCUCCGGCUAACUCCGUG